rnacentral:lncRNA from 1 species
UGUUGAAUGAUGAAACAAAUCAAUCGGAUUCCCAUUGAUAUUUUCAUAGAUGAGAUUACAACCAGCUACUUCUGACAACAUCAUAUUUAAUUUUUAGUUUUCGUUUUAUUUAUGCUUUUUAUUGUAAAUUUUUACUUGUUAUUGUUUAUUGGUAAAUUUUGGGUCUAUGAUGCAGUAAAAUAUUUGCUACUCUUGAUGGGAAAAACACCCACUUGAUGAUUUAUUAUCCACCAAGAUCUCUGAGGCC